rnacentral:rRNA from 1 species
AUACGUAGGUGACGAGCGUUAUCCGGAAUUACUGGGCGUAAAGCGCACGCAGGUGGCUGUUCAAGUCUGGCGUGAAAUCUCUUGGCUUAACCAGGAGCGGUCGCUGGAAACUGAAUGGCUUGAGGCGAUGAGAGGGGUGCAGAAUUCCCGGUGUAGUGGUGGAAUGCGUAGAUAUCGGGAGGAAUACCAGUGGCGAAGGCGGCACCCUGGCGUCGUACUGACACUCAUGUGCGAAAGCGUGGGGAGUGAACGGGAUUAGAUACCCCGGUAAUCCACGCUGUAAACGAUGAACACUAGGUGUGGGUGGAGUCAAUCUAUCUGUGCCAAAGCAAACGCGUUAAGUGUUCCGCCUGGGAAGUACGGCCGCAAGGCUAAA